rnacentral:rRNA from 1 species
GACGAACGCUGGCGGCGUGCUUAACACAUGCAAGUCGAACGGAAAGGCCCUGCUUUUGUGGGGUUCUCGAGUGGCGAACGGGUGAGUAACACGUGUGUAACCUGCCCUUUACUUUGGGAUAACUUCAUGAAACUCGGGCUAAUACCGGAUAUGAUCUCCUGCUGCAUGGUGUGGGUUGGUAAGUUUCGGCGUUUGGGGAUGGACUCGCGGUUUAUCAGCUUGUUGGUGGGGUAGUGGCUUACCAAGGCUUGGACGGGUAGCCGGCCUGAGAGGGUGACCGGCCACAAUGGGACGGAGAUAGGGCCAAGAGUGAUACGGGAGGCAGGAGUGGGGAAUAUUGCAAAAUGGGCGGAAGCAGUAUGCAGGAACGCCGGGUGCGGGAUGACGGCCUGCGGGUUGGAAAGCGGGUUCGACUGGGAAGAAGAGUGAGUGACGGUAAUGGGUAAAGAAGCACCGGCUAACUACGUG